GUGCAGUCUCGCUCCCUGCUGCCUCUGGGAAGGACCGCUUGCCAUGGCAGGGUCCAGCCCCGUCCGGCUUGGUCCGCACGGAGCGGUCCUUCGCGAUGGACGCGGUGUCAGCCACUAGGCUCGCGGUCACUGUGUCCCCGGGCAUCCCCAAGCUGCUUCAGCCCCUGCGGAUUCUGUAUGCGGCCCUCGUAGCCUGGCUGCUGCAGGUGGUUGCUACCUUACCUGAGCAUGUUCAGCCGGGCCUGACUUUUAUGGGCUCCCCUGGAAGCCUGUGUUGUUCACUGCCUGUUUGGGA
rnacentral:lncRNA from 1 species